ACGAACGCUGGCGGCGUGCUUAACACAUGCAAGUCGAACGGAAAGGCCCUGCUUUUGUGGGGUGCUCGAGUGGCGAACGGGGGAGUAACACGUGAGUAACCUGCCCUUGACUUUGGGAUAACUUCAGGAAACUGGGGCUAAUACCGGAUAGGAGCUCCUGCUGCUUGGUGGGGGUUGGAAGGUUUCGGCGGUUGGGGAUGGACUCGCGGCUUAUCAGCUUGUUGGUGGGGUAGUGGCUUACCAAGGCUUUGACGGGUAGCCGGCCUGAGAGGGUGACCGGCCACAUUGGGACUGAGAUACGGCCCAGACUCCUACGGGAGGCAGCAGUGGGGAAUAUUGCACAAUGGGCGGAAGCCUGAUGCAGCAACGCCGCGUGCGGGAUGACGGCCUUCGGGUUGUAAACCGCUUUCGCCUGUGACGAAGCGUGAGUGACGGUAAUGGGUAAAGAAGCACCGGCUAACUACGUG
rnacentral:rRNA from 1 species